AAUUGCCUUUCACCUCCUGCCAUGAUUCUGAGGCCCCCAGCCAUGUGGAACUGGAGAAGGGAGAUGAAAUAAUACCAGCAUCCUGAACCUGAAUGUCCAGCUUCGCCUUGUUCUUUGUGGAUUAUAAGACCAUUGAUUAAAUAAAUCCUUUCAUCAAAAUUAUCUUAAAAAAGAAACUACCAUCUAAAUCCAGUUAUUCCAUCUGACUUGGUAGCAGUGAUGUUUGGAGUUUAGGACCUAAAGGUGAAAUGGGGAAAAUCUGGGUGCUCGGAAAGACACCAGAAGCACACAGAAGAAGAUCAUAUGAAGACACAACAAGAAGGUGACUAGCUGCAAGCCAAGAAGAGAAGCCUCAGAAGAAAUCAAACGUACUAGCACCUUGAUCUUGGAAUUCCAGUCUCCAAAGCUGCGAGAAAAUAAAAUUCUGUUGCUUAAGCUGCCAA